rnacentral:rRNA from 1 species
UACGUAGGGGGCAAGCGUUGUCCGGAUUUAUUGGGCGUAAAGAGCGUGUAGGCGGCUAGGUAGGUCCGUUGUGAAAACUCGAGGCUCAACCUCGAGACGUCGAUGGAAACCAUCUAGCUAGAGUCCGGAAGAGGAGAGUGGAAUUCCUGGUGUAGCGGUGAAAUGCGCAGAUAUCGUAAGGAAGACCAGUGGCGAAGGCGGGUCUCUGGACAGUUCCUGACGCUGAGGCACGAAGGUCAGGGGAGCAAACGGG